rnacentral:rRNA from 1 species
GAUGAACGCUAGCUACAGGCUUAACACAUGCAAGUCGCGGGACCGGCGCACGGGUGAGUAACGCGUAUCCAACCUUCCCUUCCCCCCGGGAUCACCCGGCGAAAGUCGGACUAAUACCGUAUGGUCACGGAUUGGGAUGCGUCCGAUUAGCUUGACGGCGGGGUAACGGCCCACCGUGGCUACGACCGGUAGGGGUUCGGAGAGGAAGGUCCCCCACACUGGAACUGAGACACGGUCCAGACUCCGACGGGAGGAAGCAGUGAGGAAUAGUGGGCAAUGGGCGUAAGCCUGAACCAGCCAAGUAGCGUGCAGGACGACGGCCUAUGGGUUGUAAACUGCUUUUAUGCGGGGAUAGGUACCGCAUGAAUAAGGACCGGCUAAUUCCGUGCCAGCAGCCGCGGUAAUAC